GGAUUCUCAUUGGUCGAGCGUUUGAAAAAUAAUCGUAAACGUCACAUAAAUCGUGAACGUUAUUUUUAACCCCCCAAAACAAAACAAUAAAAACAGAAACCAAACGCCGUUAUUUACUGUAUGACAGUGAAUCGAACCGAGAAACUUUAACCAAGACAAAUACAUCAGAGAGAAGCAGUAAUGCUGAGAAAACUCGCUCGUUUGCUUUUUGGGGGAGAGAACUCAGAGAAGGACGCCCCUGAGGAAGUCAAGUCCGAAGAAGUGCUGGAAGAGGAAUGGCUUGUAGUUAGUCGUCAAGAAGGCAGUUCUGCUGAUAUCCCGAAUAUGGAGGCCUCCGCUAUAUUAUCAGACUCUGCUCCCAUUGCAACAACUAUUCCCAAACUAGAAAUAAGUUUAACAGCUCCAGCCAGUGACCAGUCCACAAUUGAAAGCAAAAAAAAUGCUAUCUCAGCAUUACUUUCUCCUCCCAAAGUCCUGCACAAGGUCACAAAGUCAACCUGUAUGCAAAAAUCCAGCACAUCCCACCACCCCAUGUCCCGAAACACUAUGCAGCGACACAAUCGUGUUCGGCAUGGGUUCCAGCAUCAUUCAUUCCCACUUCAACAACCAUCACAUCGCAACUACAGUCACUAAAAUGCUGCAAGAGCAACUAGUAAUGCAUUCACAGAGCUGAUACUGAUAUAGCUGCAUGCACUAUUUUCAUGGAUGCAAAUAUCCAUCCAAAUUGUAGCUGCAAAAGGUUUGAUAUGUUCUACUAUUUUUUUACUUGCAUGUAUUUGACUAACCACAGCAAUAAAAUACAACACAGUGCA